rnacentral:tRNA from 2 species
GCGGAAGUGGCGAAAUUGGUAGACGCGCUGGAUUUAGGUUCCAGUGCCGCAAGGCGUGAGAGUUCGAGUCUCUCCUUCCGCACCA